GGGAAUCUGCCCUUCGGUUGGGAAUAACUGAGAGAAAUUUCAGCUAAUACCUUAUAAUGUCUUCGGACCAAAGAUUUAUCGCCGAGGGAUGAGCCCGCGUAGGAUUAGCUAGUUGGUGGGGUAAUGGCCUACCAAGGCGACGAUCCUUAGCUGGUCUGAGAGGAUGAUCAGCCACACUGGGACUGAGACACGGCCCAGACUCCUACGGGAGGCAGCAGUGGGGAAUAUUGGACAAUGGGCGAAAGCCUGAUCCAGCAAUGCCGCGUGAGUGAUGAAGGCCUUAGGGUUGUAAAGCUCUUCUACCCGGGAUGAUAAUGACAGUACCGGGAGAAUAAGCUCCGGCUAACUCCGUGCCAGCAGCCGCGGUAAUACGGAGGGAGCUAGCGUUGUUCGGAAUUACUGGGCGUAAAGCGCGCGUAGGCGGUUUCUCAAGUCAGAGGUGAAAGCCCGGGGCUCAACCCCGGAACUGCCUUUGAAACUAGGAGACUAGAAUCUUGGAGAGGUCAGUGGAAUUCCGAGU
rnacentral:rRNA from 1 species